AAAAAUGGGAGACAUGUCAAAGCAAAGAAGUCAAUGUGAAAAGAAACCAAGGGAUUCAGUGGGACAUACAUACUCGCAUAGCUCAUGUUCCCAGAGUCUGCCUGGGUCCAGGCUGGGUCAGGAGGACUGCUGAGGUCUUGAGGUGGGGCCAUCCAGUUUAAGAGACAAAGCACCAUGCUUUCAACACCAGCCAGAUGUGAUCCUGCAGAAAGAGAGGAGGAAGGGAAAAAUGUCAGAGUGACAAAAACAAUAUACAGUACAGUGAGAUGGAAUUUUACAGUGCAGACUGGAGAGGAGGAGUGGAGGACGAGGCUUAUAUUGUCAUACAAAAUAAAGGGACAGAAAUGGGGAACAUGUCAAACUGUAGGCAACUUGUACAGAACCGUGCGCAAAGAUGCACUGAGACACUUGAGACAUGCACGAAGACAUUUGCAAUUUGAU